GACUCGAGCCGGAAGUAGUUUAGUGGUUAGAGCGUCCGCCUCGGAUGUGGAAGGUAAGAGGUUCGAACCACUGCCGAGUCA